rnacentral:misc_RNA from 2 species
AACGCACAUUGCGCCCGCCAGUAUUCUGGCGGGCAUGCCUGUUCGAGCGUCAUUUCAACCAUCAAGCCCCGGGCUUGUGUUGGGGACCUGCGGCUGCCGCAGGCCCUGAAAUGCAGUGGCGGGCUCGCUGUCACUCCGAGCGUAGUAGUUACAUCUCGCUCUGGGCGUGCUGCGGGUUCCGGCCGUUAAAAGCCUUAUUUACCCAAGGUUGACCUCGGAUCAGGUAGGAAGACCCGCUGAACUUAA